rnacentral:rRNA from 1 species
AGUGAACGCUGGCGGUAGGCCUAACACAUGCAAGUCGAACGGCAGCACAGUAAGAGCUUGCUCUUACGGGUGGCGAGUGGCGGACGGGUGAGGAAUACAUCGGAAUCUACUUUUUCGUGGGGGAUAACGUAGGGAAACUUACGCUAAUACCGCAUACGACCUACGGGUGAAAGCAGGGGAUCUUCGGACCUUGCGCGAUUGAAUGAGCCGAUGUCGAAUUAGCUAGUUGGCGGGGUAAAGGCCCACCAAGGCGACGAUCCGUAGCUGGUCUGAGAGGAUGAUCAGCCACACUGGAACUGAGACACGGUCCAGACUCCUACGGGAGGCAGCAGUGGGGAAUAUUGGACAAUGGGCGCAAGCCUGAUCCAGCCAUACCGCGUGGGUGAAGAAGGCCUUCGGGUUGUAAAGCCCUUUUGUUGGGAAAGAAAAGUAGCAGGUUAAUACCCCGCUGUUCUGACGGUACCCAAAGAAUAAGCACCGGCUAACUUCGUG